rnacentral:lncRNA from 1 species
AAACCGUUCAAGACACCCAACCAACUUUCACCUGUUCCAGAUAUCCUAUUCUAUCAUCCAUAUUACUUCAAGACAAGCUAGCAAGCACACAGAUUUUCUUUAGGAAAUGUACUUUUCGAGUGUUCGGUUGAUCUUUGUAAAUGCCGGUGAAUUUUUGCUUCCAUGUAAGACCAAUUGGUCUACUACUACGGACGGGGAAUAGACAAAUGAACCGAUUGCGUUGUGGUUAAAAGCUUAUAUUUACCGGAAGAGGUCGCUAUAAGAGCUGCUUAUCUGUAAAACUUUUCUUUGCCAAUUUACCAGGCAAAAUAUCCCCGUAAAUAUAUUUUGAACAACAUAAACUAGACUUACUGUAUAAUUAUUAUUGUUUGAAAAAUGUCCCCAUCGUGCUCAUGGAAUCAACCUUCUCUGAGGAGGAAGGUAGAUAUAAUAAUUGUCUCAAACUCUUCAAAUUGUAAACCAGUGAAUUCAUAUCAAAAGACAAUGAUUAUAAACACAAAGGCUAUUUGUGUUGCUGACAGACACACCCUAAAACGUAUAAGAAGAGGUCUCAGAGGUGUAGUUUCUGGGAUGUUUCUGAUAAACUGUAGGUUUCCAUUUGAUUGGAAGGCUGAACAGGUGGUUUGGGAGAUGCGCAGUGUUGCCCAACGUCACACUCGGUGGUGGUAUAAAUUCCCCCGGGUUUGUCCUCCAGUCAUUUAUCUUGAGAAAAGACCAAGGCAGGAAAGCUACAUUACGCGCAAUUGGUGCUGUGAAGAAACCAAUAACAAGAUGACUAAAAUUGUGAUGGCUUACGUUGGGUUCCUUCUCCUUGCCAUGCGUUUUUCGUCACAGAUCCACGCGCAAAACACUACCACACAGUCCCCUGCCAUGAAUGCUACGACCAGAGCUGGCGGUGCGAGUUCCAACAUGACCAAGAUGCCCGACGUCACCAAGAACAACAUUGCCAAAGGAGCCAGUGCAUCUUUGCAGUCCAGCUCGGUUGUGCUCAUCAUACCCAUCAUGGUGGGGGGCUCACUACAGGGGCGCUUCUAGAGGGCUGUUGAGCAGUGAACAGACACCAGCAAGACUUCAACAUCAGCGGCCUAGAUGGGGCAAACUGUUCGACCAAGAUCACAUUUAAAAAAUAAUAUUCAGGAAGGCAGUCAUGUUUGCACCUAACCGAAUAGAUUCGAGGGAGUUGCGUGCUGUACCAGAACCCAUUUCUACUUCAAUGAUUGGAAUUGUUAUUUGCCCUCACACCUUCAAACCAUUAGGCCUUCACACCUCGCACACUGACCCCAUGCCCAAAGGCCGAACUGUACGGUCCUCUCCAUGGAGGCAGUCCAUGAUGAGUAUGUACUGUACGGAACUCUGCUCUUUGAACCGUUUGGUCCCGCUGUUCCUGUGUAGACACCAGGGGGUAGUUUAGUAAUUUGUUAAGAAGUUAACAUAUCUAAAGAAAUGUUGGUUGAGGCACUUUGAAAAUAAGGUAUAAAUGAAUCUGUGGCAUUUCUGCACCUGCAGUGAGUACUUUGUCAGAGGCUUGAUGUACACUUGUGAUUUAUUUCUAGAAAUGGAAUUGUGAGAUAGCAUGUGAGAUUUAAUUGUAUGAAUCAUGAUGUGAUAUGCGUAGAUUUGUUUUUUAAGGCCAGGUUCAAUAAACCUUUAAAAUGUAGGAUACUUGUGAGAAUUUAUUUGUAUAAUAAAAAUAUUUUAACAAUGUUUCUUCUCCUGUCUCUAAAUUCUAAAGCUUGACCUGACAAGUAAUUUGCUCUGUUCCACUUGUGUCCAGCCCCUUUAUUGAUCACAUGGCUAAACCCAGGGAUUUCCUUAACGUAGACUAGGUGUGAUGUGCCACAAAUUAAAUCCUUAUUUUAGAAUGGGGUAUAGGAAUGUUCACCUUUGGCCAGUUGUAGCAUUUAUGCUAUGUCAACUAGGACCUUUCUUGCAUUCCUUGUGGCCAAAACAGUUCAGUUUCCUGACAGUUGACUCACUUGCAGGCUGCUUUAAUUAGAUUUACUUUACCCUAGCUACAUUGACCUGUGACCAGUCCAUUUACUAACUAGCCUACAAAGAUGUUCAGGGGAAGGCUGGCUGUAAAGUAUAUUUGACCUAACACUAGUUUCUUGACACUGGGUCUUGCUGGUUGGCUCUCAGCCAAAGGGAUGGUUAACUUUUUAGACUUAUCAUCCCAUAACUCUAAGCCAGGGGUUUUAAACUAUAUUGCAUGGUUUAUAAGGUCAUACCAAGGUCAAUUUUCCUGUUUUAACAACUCCCUUGACUCAACUAAUGUAAUUAUUUGUGACGAGCCCAUAGUUUGUUCUGUCUGUCCAAGCUAGACCUGAGAGAUCAGGAUACUUUUCUGGAACUAAGUCUAUUCAACUGAUACUGUGGGACCUUCAAGCGAUGUUUGAGUCUGACCUUUCCAGAAGAGUUGUAGUGUGUAGACUUCAUAUGCAACAGACUCAUUAGAGGCUGUUCAGACUAGUCCCAAGAUGGUUGUAGAGAAACUGAAUGUGUUCGCUAGUGAAGUGAGUAGACUGGUUUUUGAGAUAUCUCAUGGUCUUACUAACACACCUUACACAGGCAGAUGUGGUGGAUUGAGAUGCAUCCAAUGCAAAAAAAACAUCUUAAACUGACUUUUGUGGGGAUUUAAUGCUAAUUGACCUAAGGGGGUUUGAACUGAUGCUGUAGAUUGGUCAUUCUCAAUUUGUUUUUGGGGCUUACCUGUUUGGCAUUAAUGUGUCACAUCAGUUUGUAAAAAAAAAAAAGGAUUAAAGCUGCAUACAAACAUGGUCUCUUUUGCUUUCUU